AUACUUAGCUGGCGUAGGGAUACCGUGAUCAUGCUCAUUCAGGCGGUUUCCCUAGGAUGAGGCUGCUCCAUUGCACUGCUGAGUGGUUGACCCUUGCGAUUGUUUUUAGAAGUUUCACUUCUACCGUGUUUGAC
rnacentral:snRNA from 9 species